rnacentral:rRNA from 1 species
GACGAACGCUGGCGGCGUGCUUAACACAUGCAAGUCGAACGGAAAGGCCCUGCUUUUGUGGGGUGCUCGAGUGGCGAACGGGUGAGUAACACGUGAGUAACCUGCCCUUGACUUUGGGAUAACUUCAGGAAACUGGGGCUAAUACCCGAUAGGAGCUCCUGCUGCAUGGUGGGGGUUGGAAAGUUUCGGCGGUUGGGGAUGGACUCGCGGCUUAUCAGCUUGUUGGUGGGGGAGUGGCUUACCAAGGCUUUGACGGGUAGCCGGACUGGGAGGGAGACCGGCCCCAGGGGGCUGGGGAAGGGACCAGGGGUCAAGCUGGGGCAAGGGGGGGGAAACUUAGCCAAAAGGGCGGAGCGUGUAAAGACGACCGCCGGGUUGGAAAUAACGGCUUUCGGGUUAGAAACCCUUUGCCCUUGUACGGAAGGGGGAGUACGGUAAAGGAGUAAAAAGCACCGGCUAACUUCGGG